CAGUUGUGGAGCAGAGUUCGAGAAAGCUGACCUGCCAAUUAUCUUCUGAGGGAGACUGUUUAAAUUUGAGAGACCGGCAGAAGACCUGAGAGCCCGAGCAGGAUUAUAAAACGAAAACGAUUCGGUGAUGUACUCCGGUCACAGAGCAUUGGGAGCUUUAAAAACAACAGAGGCUGGUCUUCAGGUUACAUGAUGCAACAGUGCCCUCUGCUGGACAAGAGAGAAAUGGCACUUCUCGUCUGGCAUCUUGGAGAAGCUGCAAAGAACUGACACUUCAUCAUACCUAAAUCAGCUCGGAAUACCACAUCUCCAUGGAGAGGUUCAACCUUGUUCCCAGGCUCUUGUCAACUUUGAGCAAAAAUUUAACCACAGUGUCAAAAAGAUCAAAGAAACAUUUUAAGCAGCAGCCUUUUGACAGCCAACACACUUCAGUGUGAAGAAGCAAGUGUUCAAACUCUUCAUCGUUAUCUUGGCAUAACUGGUGAAAUAUUCUGCCAUUUAAUGUAAGAGCAUUAAUUUUGUUGAUAGCAAAUAUUACAAGAGUCAUGCUUGAAGAAAGUCAAUGGCUGAAGUUUUUGGCUGCGAGAUGUUGACAAUGAAUUACACAAUGGAUUGCAAACAGACUUGGAAUUUCUUUUAUCAUAAAUGUCACUAAACCAGCAUGGUGACCUGUCAUAUAUGGCGCUCCAUCUGUUUGACAAGAAAUUAUAUUCCGAAUCAGUCCUGUCCUGUAAUGCAGUCCCGUUGAAGGGGCUCCGCCCAAAACAUUGAUUGUACACUUUUCCGUAAAUGCUGGCUCAUCUGCUGAGUUCCUCCAGCAUUUUGCAUGGGUUUCCAGCAUCUGCAGAUUUUCUCUUGUUUAUGUUCUUGAUUGGAAUACUUUUAUACUCAAUAUACAUUUUGAGCUUGUUGUAGAUUGAUUCCCCAUUGAUACUUGUUUUUAAAUUUUUACAAAGAGAAUCUCUUCAUAAACUUUUCCAUUUUUGAUAAACCGUACAUUAGCAAUACCUCAUUGUCUCACACAGUUGACUCAUCUAGUUGUAUCCCAAAUUUUGUUUUUUUGUAGCUCUGUGCAUAGUUGACUUGUCUUCACUCAUUUUGCCAAUAUGAUAGGCUACAGAGUUAUUACUCAGAGGCAUUGAUUUUAAAAUACUGGUAUCCAUUUGAGAACAGUGAUACAGCAAGAUGCAGCAGGCAUUAUUAAUCUUUCACCAGUUGACUGAGAUUUUCCACACUUUGCUAUCAUUUUGGAGAUUUUAUAAGAAGCAAUGAGACCACUAUCAAGGUUAUUUUUAGCUUUCUUGGCAAAUGACUCAAGUGUGUAACGCCUUUCAAAUGCUUCUUUAAUCUUCUGGAACUGAGUAGCUUUUUCAGGCUGUCUUUUACAGAAGUGUUCCAGCAAUCUCGAUGGUUUCACGGCUUCAUUAGACAAUACACUAUUACAAAUAAGACACAUGGCGUGUCACCGAUCUGACAGGAACAGAAGAAAACCAUACUCCAAGUAUGUGACAUUGUAUUGAUGCACUUUCUGUAGUUUCUGUUUUUUAGCAGGAUUAGAAUUCAGGGCGUCACCACCUUCAGACUCAUAGAGAUCACACCAUAUGUAUUUAUCCAUCAUUAAUGAAAUAAAAAAUUAACACAAUCUGGGAAUGCUUAUUGGAUGUU